AGAGUUUGAUCAUGGCUCAGGAUGAACGCUGGCGGCGUGCCUAAUACAUGCAAGUCGGACGCAAUGCUUCGGCAUUGAGUGGCGAACGGGUGAGUAAUACAUAAGCAACCUGCCCCUGUGAGGGGGAUAACUGCUGGAAACGGCAGCUAAGACCGCAUAGGCAUACAUGACGCAUGUCGAGUAUGUUAAAUAUCCUACGGGAUAGCACAGGGAUGGGCUUAUGACGCAUUAGCUAGCUGGUGAGGUAGAGGCUCACCAGGGCGACGAUGCGUAGCCGGCCUGAGAGGGUGGACGGCCACACUGGGACUGAGACACGGCCCAGACUCCUACGGGAGGCAGCAGUAGGGAAUUUUCGGCAAUGGGCGAAAGCCUGACCGAGCAACGCCGCGUGAAGGAAGAAGUCAUUCGUGAUGUAAACUUCUGUUAUAAAGGAAGAACGGCGCCUGUAGGGAAUGACAGGCGAGUGACGGUACUUUAUGAGGAAGCCACGGCUAACUACGUGCCAGCAGCCGCGGUAAUACGUAGGUGGCGAGCGUUAUCCGGAAUUAUUGGGCGUAAAGGGUGCGCAGGCGGUUUGAAAAGUUUAAGGUGAAAGCGUGGGGCUUAACCCCAUACAGCCUUAGAAACUGUCAGACUAGAGUACAGGAGAGGGCAAUGGAAUUCCAUGUGUAGCGGUG
rnacentral:rRNA from 1 species